ensembl:lncRNA
CAAAUACACAGGCUCAAGUUCAGCCAGCCACACAGACAUCUUUCAUUUACACUUAUGACAGUGGGUCAUUUUGCCCCUGUGUGAUACUCGCACACACAUUCAUUUCACACACUCAUACACACAGACACUCACUCAUACAGACACACAGACACUCACUCAUACAGACACACAGACACUCACUCAUCCAGACACACAGACAGUGGGAAUUUGAGAAGCUCCAGUCAGACUGAGGAAUGCUGCUGGACAUGGAUUGCUCUCCAUUCACCAGACUCACAGUGUUUCUCCUCCUCCUUCCAGCAGUUCCAGCCAUUAAUCCGACUAACCAGACAGAGGUUAUGGGUGGACCUUUACAAACCACCACGCCUGUAGCCAUUUCCGAGGUGACCUCAGUACCAACACCACGAUCCAACACCACCACUGUGGCGGUUGUUGAUACAAGCCCAGAACAAGCCCAUCCACAGACUGAUGUCACACCAUCCCUAGCAUACUCAACGCCAGGAAACGACAGCAGUGACAAUGAGGCGCCCACGUCCUCAUCCCAACCAUUGUCUCCUACCGCCACAGGCAUGACUCAGGCACAAAGAUCUGCUACCACCUCACAAGACACUUCCAAAGAACCUGGAUCGACAGCUGCCACAACAGCCCCCUCUACGACCCCGUUGACCUCCCCUGAGGGACCUACAGAGACACACACAGACAUCUCUCCCACUCAGCCCCCGGGAAAAAGCCUCACCAUGCUUGCCUUUGGUGUCAUGAGCUUCAUCCUCAUCCUCAUCAUUAUCAUGGUGGUCUUGGUAACCGUGGUCAACCUGAGAGACCGCUGCAGCCACUCAACAGAGGAAGGUAAAAAGAGCAGCGAUUCUGUGGUAUCAGAAAGCAAUUUCACAUACAAUGGUGAAAAAGAGAGCAUCACUUUGGUCUCCAUGAAGACCAUUCACUCAGAAACUGACACAGAUUCGCCCCAGGUCUCCUCCAUUCACAGUACAACACUGGACUACGAUGAGCAUGAACUGAGUAGGGACCUGAUGGACACUAAGCUGGUGUGAAAAUAAAGACCUUAGAUGUGACCAAAACAGAAAUGACCAAACUACUCUUACAAAAUUGACCGAUACAUCUGAGUCCACACAGCAUAUCAAAUCACUGCUGUGGCGAUAAUAUGUGCUGGCUACCACUGGGCAUAGUAAGUGUCUGUUGUAUCUACUGUCCCAUCCAUAAAAACUGACAGUAAAGUCAAAAUUGCUAUUUAUGCUAUACACUCAACGAAUAUGAAAAUAAGAUUAAAAGAUUAUUCGAAAGUACAGAAUGUCACCUUUUGUUCCUGCCGGUUCGACACUUAUAUAUGCUUAAUCGACUAAGAAUAACAGCACUGUAAGAGUUCAAUCGCCCAUUUUAUGUGAGCAGAAGUAUUGGGACACAGGACAAAUUGAUGAGGUGUUUUCUUUGGCAUUGAGUGUCAACACAUAGAAGAACGAUGAAUGUGCAGUCCAGGUCCAUCGUUUGCUUUUAUAUUUGUUGUCUGCAUUCGGUCAGUAGGAAUGACCAGAGCUGUGAAAAACAACCGAAAAAUAAGGGUCAGUGAAAUCACCAACAAGGCAGCAAAAUUACAAAGCUACACUGCAAGAUGCAAACCUCUGAUCAGCACCAAAAACAGAAAGGCCAGAUAUUUGCUAAAAAGUAGAGAUCAGAUCAGUAGAGAUACAGUUGUGGAAUAGGUUUUUAAUGCUGAGAUGAGACAAAGGUAAACCUUUAUCAAAAUGAUGGGAAGGCAAAAGUGUGGAGAAAAUAAUAAAACUAUAGAUUAUCUAAACCACACCAUCCCAUCUGUGAAGUACAGUGGAGGUAGUGUCAUGGCAUGGGCAUGCAUGAACGUUUGCUUCUGGAACAGGCUCACUCAUCUUUAUUGAUGAUGUAACAAAUGAUGUCAGCUGCAGAAUGUAAUCAGAAGUGUAAAGAAGCAUCAUGACUACCCAUGCACAAGAAAACGCCACCUGACUCAUUGGGUGGCGUUUCACAAUGCAACGGGACAAUUGCCCAAAAACACACGGCUAUUGCAACCAAGUUCAUGGGGAACCCGUUUUAGACUGGCCACGUCAAGGUCUUGAUUUAAAUUCGAUUGAACAUGCAUUUCACUUGCUGAGGACGAGACUGAAGUCAGAAACUCCACGAAAAAAGCAACAGCUCAUGGCUGCAGUAAAGGCUUGGCAAAACAUUUCAAAGGAUACUAAUUGUUUGGCGAUGUCAGUGGGUUGAAGAUUCACUGCUGUUAUUGCAUGCGAGGGAUUUGUGGUUAUAUACUAGCUUUCAUACUUCCUACAUUUUCUUUAAAUUGAAUUGUCUCAAAACUUAUGCUCGCAUUAAAUGGGAGGAUGUAAUUCUGAAAGUGAUGUUAUUCAGUUGGUAAAACAAUGUGUUCAAACAGACUAAUUCAUAUAAUCGUAUUUCACCAUGCCUUGAGUGAACAGCAGAAAAAUUUGGAUUGGCAUUCAGUAUUGCAUUAGAAUUUUUUGUUGUACUCUCAAAUUAGCCCAUGUCAGCUAUUUUUCGCUGAGUCAAUUGCUCAAGCUUUAGAAGCCAGCGAUCUAAACUUAAAUUACUCAUGCUCACAGAUAUCAUCUUACAAGCUGGUGGAUAUCCCUGAUCUAAAUGGAUGAAAUGUUUGUAUACUCUAAUGUAAAUAAUACAUUGAAUAUGUCUUAUUGUUACAUCAAAAUGGUUUUAUGAAAAUUGUGUUCUUGCAAUUGUACUUUUUACUUUUAUAAAUGGUUUCCAUUUCUGGACCACAGUUGUCAAUAAAACAAAAUAUACCGAC